rnacentral:rRNA from 1 species
UACGGAGGGUGCGAGCGUUGUCCGGAAUCAUUGGGCGUAAAGGGCGCGUAGGUGGCCCGGUCAGUCUUUGGUGAAAGCGCGGGGCUCAACCCUGCGUCGGCCAGGGAUACUGCCGCGGCUGGAGCACUGUAGAGGCAGGCGGAAUUCCGGGUGUAGCGGUGGAAUGCGUAGAGAUCCGGAAGAACACCGGUGGCGAAGGCGGCCUGCUGGGCAGUUUUGCUGACACUGAGGCGCGACAGCGUGGGGAGCAAACAGGG